ACCUACGGGGGGCAGCAGUGGGGAAUAUUGGACAAUGGGGGAAACCCUGAUCCAGCGACGCCGCGUGAGUGAAGAAGUAUUUCGGUACGUAAAGCUCUAUCAGCAGGAAAGAAAAUGACGGUACCUGACUAAGAAGCCCCGGCUAACUACGUGCCAGCAGCCGCGGUAAUACGUAGGGGGCAAGCGUUAUCCGGAUUCACUGGGCGUAAAGGGAGCGCAGGCGGCACGGCAAGUCUGGCGUGAAAGCCCGGGGCCCAACCCCGGGACUGCAUUGGAAACUGCCGGGCUGGAGUGCCGGAGGGGGA
rnacentral:rRNA from 1 species